AGGAUGCAGAGGAGGGCAGAGACAAGAGCAUCGUACAUGAGCAGAGCGCCACCUGCCCUGGAGAGCGGGAGGGAGACCCGGCCUGAGCGUUCUUCCAAUGCGCCACCUGCCUCUCUCCGCACCCCUCGCCCAGAAUAACAUGAAGUUGUCGGAGAAUUUCAUGAUUGCCCUUUGCGUUUGGGGAAUGCGUAGCUUGAGAACAGUCAGCCUGGUAGGACCAGGAGCUAGCCAGAAACUUCCCCUUUCUGCGCUCCACACCAUCUGUCUGUGGCUGUCUCUGUAACUAUGUAUCUUUCUACUUGGCUGUCUGGAAUCUAUGUGUAACUAUGUGUGUGUAUCUAUCAUCUCUUGUGUGCCUAGGUUUGUAUCCAGUUAUGUAUCUACUUAUCCCCCUAAGAAUGCACCUGCCAUCUCUGCAGUCCCAUCAUCUCUCUGUGCGUCUACCCAUUCAACACCUGCAGCCCAGCAUGUCUGUAUUUAUGUCCAUGUGCACGUAUGUACUCUGCGUGUACUUUAUCACGUAUCAUCUAUCUCUAUAUCUACCUCCCUAUUAUCUCUCUGUCUGGCUCUAUAAUCACCAGUUAAUUCUAGGGGCGUUCCAUCUGGACGUGGGUUCAGCCUGGCUAUGUAGUAUCUCACUGGAACUCCUUCCAGAAAUCAAGGCUCUGUGAUCCAACAGAAGAAGGUAGAGCUGGGCCUGUGCCCCCCACUUCCUUCCUGGGAGACCACAGACAGGAGCCCUCGGAGCCCUUCCUGCUCACCUCCUGACCCCCAGCGCCCUGUCCUGCCACCUCAGGACGAGGAUAGGGCAGAUCGCCAGCGGCUGGCCAUGUCCCGCAACCCCACGCGCUUCCUGGGCCUUGGGGAGAGAAGCUAUCUCAGGGAGUUCCUGUUGACUGAGGGUGGUUUGGGGGCCGGCAGCACACUGACCCCCACAGAAGGUCCACCGGCCACCGAAGACAGAGGAAGGAGCCCUGUGUCCAGGAAGGAGUCGGGCCCUGCGGACACCCUCCUGCGAGCCCCGGGAGACCACAGCAGGCCUCUGACCUCCGGAACUGAAAAAGCAUAAUAAACCUGCUUUGUCAUAGCAGAUGAGGAACCUCAGACCCCUGGUGUCUGACACUGUCCUCAGUCGGUUCCCAGCCUUCUGGAAACGGAUUCCAGCACCGACCUUUCCUUCCAGCGCCUUGACCUCAGCCCCUGACGUGUCAUCCCAAACCUGGGAGCACCAGUGCCCAAAGCCCAGCCUGGCCACAUUCUGGAGGCCUGGGCUUCAUGUCCCAGGUGCUGCAGUGGCAGGUGGUGGUAUGCAGAGCUCGGCCCCGGCUGCUUAUGUCACACUUGUAUCUCUGAUCUUUCAAACCCCUGUUCCUAAGAAAUUAAUGUAAUAUUUUCCCAACUUACCCUGUGGCUCUGGUGUUGAUGGGAUGUAAGCUUAUCUUUACUAUAAAAUAUAUUUGUGUAUAUUCGCAUCGGGGUGCACUUUUCCCAUGUCUCACAGUUUAACUGUGUUUUGCAGUGUGUAGAACAUUCAUCGGUUUCAAACACUAAAACCCCCUGAAAUGGUGCGUUCAGAGAUGAUCCACCUCCUCUGUCCCCUUCACACCCUCCCUCCCGCUCCCACACCGCAGGUGACGAUUUUUGUCAGAUUCUGGUUUUCAGAGCGAACAAGCAAUCUGUGGAAAGUUCCUGAUGCUCCUGGAAGAAGUCGCUGCAAACUCCACGCUGGAAACAGUGCACAUUCACGCCCGUGCGGCUCUCUGGCCAAGGAGUCUGAC